AAAUGACAAAUGGCCUCCAAGGAUUUUGCAAUAGGCAUGAUCUUAUUAUCUCAGAUCAUGGUCGGAUUCCUGGGGAAUUUCUUUCUUCUCUACCACUAUAGUUUCCUUUGUUUCACCAGAGGUAUGUUACAGUCCACAGAUCUGAUUCUCAAGCACCUGACCAUAGCCAACUCCUUGGUUAUACUCUCUAAAGGAAUCCCACAAACAAUGGCUGCUUUUGGGUUGAAAGAUUCCCUCAGUGAUAUUGGAUGCAAAUUUGUGUUUUAUGUUCACAGAGUGGGCAGGGCUGUGUGCACUGAGUGUCUUCCAGGUCAUCACCAUCAGCCCCAGUGAAUUCAGGUGGGCAGAGCUGAAGCUACAUGCUCACAAAUACAUCAGGUCUUUUAUCCUGGUCCUGUGCUGGAUUCUGAACACGCUGGUAAAUAUUACUGUUCUUCUACAUGUGACUGGCAAGUGGAACAGCAUAAAUAGCACAAAGACAAAUGAUUAUGGAUAUUGUUCUGGAGGAAGUAGGAGCAGAAUUCCACAUUCAUUACAUAUUGUCUUGUUAUCAUCCCUUGAUGUUUUGUGUUUGGGGCUCAUGACCUUGGCCAGUGGCUCCAUGGUUUUUAUCCUGCACAGGCACAAGCAGCAGGUCCAGCACAUUCAUGGGACCAACCUCUCCGCCAGAUCCUCCCCUGAGUCCAGAGUCACCCAAAGCAUCCUGGUCCUGGUGAGCACCUUGUGUUACUUUACUCGCUCUCCUCCAUCUUUACAUAUGUCUCUUUUUCCUAAUCCCAGUUGGUGGCUGUUGAACACCUCUGCACUGAUCACUGCCUGUUUUCCCAUGGUCAGCCCCUUUGUGCUCAUGAGCCGCCAUCCCAGGAUACCCAGGCUGGGCUCUGCCUGCUGUGGAAGGAAUCCACAGUUUCCUAAGCUGGUCAGAUAGUUCUCCGAUUUAUGUGGAUUGUCUUCUUUUUGUAUAAUGAAUGGCCGUUUGUUGAUUUCUUCCUGCAGGUUAAGCACCG
rnacentral:lncRNA from 1 species